CUUAAAUUGGUUUAGAUGUGUUGGUUAAACUUAAAUUGAUAUUGGUUUAGAGAUUUUAUUUGGUUUAAUUCAAUUUUACAAAAUUUGAUGGGUUAAUUGGGUAAACCAUUGAAACCAUUAACCAUUACAACCCAACUCAUUUUACUCAUCAAACCAAUUGACCCAAUAACUCAUUUGACCCAUCAACUCAUUUGAGUCAAAAAUUUCAACUAAUUAGGAAUCAUGGGUUGAGUUGAGUUGAGUUGACCCAUGAAUUCUGACCCAUUUUGACACCCCUAAUCAUAACGCUCGAAGUUAAAAACAUAGACCAUGUCUUCAUUCUCAUUUUAUCAACUCUAUAACGUUGCUUAUAAAGUCAUAAUAGCCUAAUAAUCAUCAUAUUAAAGUAAAGAAUUUUAAUUAUA
rnacentral:sRNA from 1 species